CGUUCUAUGCCAAACUGGUUAAAGCAUCGCCGAUUACAUGCGAUGAUGCAGGUUCGAGUCCCGCUGGAACGG
rnacentral:tRNA from 1 species